rnacentral:rRNA from 1 species
UACAGAGGAUGCAAGCGUUAUCCGGAAUGAUUGGGCGUAAAGCGUCUGUAGGUGGCUUUUUAAGUCCGCCGUCAAAUCCCAGGGCUCAACUCUGGACAGGCGGUGGAAACUACCAAGCUGGAGUACGGUAGGGGCAGAGGGAAUUCUCGGUGUAGUGGUGAAAUACGUAGAUAUCGAGAAGAACACCAAUAGCGAAAGCACUCUGCUGGGCCGAAACUGACAUUGAGAGACGAAAGCUAGGGGAGCGAAAGGG